GAUGAAGAACUAGCGAAAUGCGAUAAGUAAUGUGAAUUGCAGAAUUCAGUGAAUCAUCGAAUCUUUGAACGCACAUUGCGCCCGCCAGUAUUCUGGCGGGCAUGCCUGUUCGAGCGUCAUUUCAACCCUCAAGCCCCAGCGGCCUGGUGUUGGGGACCGGCGACCUCGCCCGAGCCCGCCCUCCGGGGCGCGUGCCCGGUGCGUCCGCCGCCCCCGAAAUGAAUUGGCGGCCUCGUCGCGGCCUCCUCUGCGUAGUAGCACAACCUCGCAAGCGGGAGCGCGACGCGGCCACUGCCGUAAAACGCCCAACUUUUUUAGAGUUGACCUCGGAUCAGGUAGGAAUACCCGCUGAACUUAAGCAUAUCAAUAAGCGGAGGA
rnacentral:misc_RNA from 1 species